GAUGAACGCUGGCGGCGUGCCUAAUACAUGCAAGUCGAGCGAACAGACGAGGAGCUUGCUCCUCUGACGUUAGCGGCGGACGGGUGAGUAACACGUGGAUAACCUACCUAUAAGACUGGGAUAAAUUCGGGAAACCGGAGCUAAUACCGGAUAAUAUAUUGAACCGGAUGGUUCAAUAGUGAAAGACGGUUUUGCUAUCACUUAUAGAUGGAUCCGCGCCGCAUUAGCUAGUUGGUAAGGUAACGGCUUACCAAGGCAACGAUGCGUAGCCGACCUGAGAGGGUGAUCGGCCACACUGGAACUGAGACACGGUCCAGACUCCUACGGGAGGCAGCAGUAGGGAAUCUUCCGCAAUGGGCGAAAGCUUGACGGAGCAACGCCGCGUGAGUGAUGAAGGUCUUCGGAUCGUAAAACUCUGUUAUUAGGGAAGAACAAAUGUGUAAGUAACUAUGCACGUCUUGACGGUACCUAAUCAGAAAGCCACGGCUAACUACGUG
rnacentral:rRNA from 1 species